AUACUUACCUGGCAGGGGAGAUACUGUGAUCACAAAGGUGGUUUUCCCAGGGCGAGGCUUAUCCAUUGCACUCCGGAUGUGCUGACCCCUGCGAUUUCCCCAAAUGUGGGAAACUCGACUGCAUAAUUUGUGGUAGUAGGGGACUGUGUUCACGCUUUCUCCUG
ensembl:snRNA U1 U1 spliceosomal RNA